UUUCGCUCAGCUGCCAGCAUACAUACAGCUUCUUCUUUAUGCCUAGAUAGAGUAGGAUGUGAAGCUUGUUCUCUUGUAGGCAAUGUGCAUUCAAAUGCACACGCACACACACGCAAGCAGAUUAAAUGUACCGUUAGGUGUGUGAGCGCGAGCGUCGCUAAUAACAAUUAAUUAGAAAUUAAACCCGUAUAUGGGCAAAACUAAUAUUUCUAUCGAAAAUGAGUCUAAACUUGUAAUCUAUGUAUGGGCUGUGGGAGUGAGUCAGAGAAACAAGCACACUCACACAUACAACAAUAAGAGUAGCGAUUUAAACAGCGGCAAACAGCUGAGAAGUUAAAAGAAGAAGACGAUGUUAAAGCAGCUAUCGGGAGCAGCAGAUCAAGCAUUCUUCUUGUCACAUCAGUGGAAAUGCACUUAUUUUGGAUUUGCGCAUUUGCAAUAAAAAUACCAUGUAGUUAAAUUGAAAUGGAUAUGAAAUCAUCAUUAUAAAUAUAGCAAAAAACAAGCACACAUUACACACACUUGCAUGUGUGUGCGAGAGUGAAUUUAACAAACAAAAAGUGAUUCACGUAAAAAUAGCCAACCAACAAAAAUACAUAUCUUAACAGCUACAGCUGUCUUCUGUCCUCGAACACUUAGCGCCCACACAUACAAAGUCACAAAGUAUAUAUACAGCCUGGCCACAGGAGCGGAAAGAAUAAAAAACCCCACCCAACGUAACGACGACAAACGCAGCCGGCACUUUUCGCUGCUUACUGCACUUGGCUAGCGAUUUUUGCACACAACUCAAAAAAUGUUCAUCAAUUAAUUUUACGCACAUUUUGUUGUUUAUAAUUAAAGUGAAACACGACAAACAAAACACACACAUAUAUAUAUAUUAUUGUUCACUUACCACAAAAAGUAAUAUAAUGCGGAGGUAAGCAAAUUAUUAAAUACACAGUUUUUA